rnacentral:rRNA from 1 species
AACGAACGCUGGCGGCAUGCCUAACACAUGCAAGUCGAACGAGACCUUCGGGUCUAGUGGCGCACGGGUGCGUAACGCGUGGGAACCUGCCCUUAGGUUCGGAAUAACUCCCCGAAAGGGGUGCUAAUACCGGAUAAUGUCUUCGGACCAAAGAUUUAUCGCCUUUGGAUGGGCCCGCGUUGGAUUAGCUAGUUGGUAGGGUAAAAGCCUACCAAGGCGACGAUCCAUAGCUGGUCUGAGAGGAUGAUCAGCCACACUGGGACUGAGACACGGACCAGACUCCUACGGGAGGCAGCAGUGGAGAAUAUUGGACAAUGGGCGAAAGCCUGAUCCAGCAAUGCCGCGUGAGUGAUGAAGGCCUUAGGGUUGUAAAGCUCUUUUACCCGAGAUGAUAAUGACAGUACCGGGAGAAUAAGCUCCGGCUAACUCCGUG